rnacentral:tRNA from 1 species
GCCUAGUUAGAUUGGAGGGUAGAGCGUCUGCCUUGUAAGCACUAGGUCGCGGAUUCGAUUUCCGCCCGUGGCG